AUUGAACGCUGGCGGCAUGCUUUACACAUGCAAGUCGAACGGUAACAGGCCGCAAGGUGCUGACGAGUGGCGAACGGGUGAGUAAUGCAUCGGAACGUGCCCAGUCGUGGGGGAUAACGCAGCGAAAGCCGCGCUAAUACCGCAUACGAUCCCUGGAUGAAAGCGGGGGACCGAAAGGCCUCGCGCGAUUGGAGCGGCCGAUGUCAGAUUAGGUAGUUGGGGGGGUAAAGGCCCACCAAGCCAACGAUCUGUAGCUGGUCUGAGAGGACGACCAGCAACACUGGGACUGAGACAAGGCCCAGACUCCUACGGGAGGCAGCAGUGGGGAAUUUUGGACAAUGGGCGCAAGCCUGAUUCAGCAAUGCCGCGUGCAGGAUGAAGGCCUUCGGGUUGUAAACUGCUUUUGUACGGAACGAAACGGCCCUUUCUAAUACAAAGGGCUAAUGACGGUACCGUAAGAAUAGGCACCGGCUAACUACGUGCCAGCCGCCGCAGUAAAAC
rnacentral:rRNA from 1 species